AUAGCGUAUAUUAAAGUUGUUGCAGUUAAAAAGCUCGUAGUUGAACCUUGGGUCUGGCCGCUCGGUCCGCCUAACCGCGUGCACUGACGGGGCCGGAUCUUUCCUUCUGGCUAACCUCAUGCCCUUUACUGGGUGUGUUGGGGAUCCAGGACUUUUACUUUGAAAAAAUUAGAGUGUUCAAAGCAGGCCUUUGCUCGAAUACAUUAGCAUGGAAUAAUAGAAUAGGACGGCGGUUCUAUUUUGUUGGUUUCUAGAGCCACCGUAAUGAUUAAUAGGGAUAGUCGGGGGCAUCAGUAUUCAAUUGUCAGAGGUGAAAUUCUUGGAUUUAUUGAAGACUAACUACUG
rnacentral:rRNA from 1 species